AAGACAAUGAGGGACAUGAGGACCAGUGGGUGUCUACCUGUCCAUCACUUUCUCACAUUUACUAGAAUUCAGGAUUGUUCGCCCUUUCAUUUCCCUCCUUCAUAAUUCUUUCAAUUUAAAUUGACAUGAGGCUGUGUUUGUUUGUCUUCUUUGAGAGCUCAAGUCUUACACUACCAAGAAUAGAUAAAAUUUACCUUUUUCUUUCAGUGGUAAUUUAAAUACAUCACAAACUUAAAUUUUAUAUAUUUUAUAAAGUCUUACAAAAAAAUCAAGCCCUUCCCUAUAAAUGAAACCUUUAUACAGGAAAUAAAUAUACAGUAUACAUCUAUGGAAUAUACAAUUUAUAUAUACAUGACUCAGUUUAUGUGUAGUAUUUUGGUGAGCCUCAAACAGAUCCACUAGCAAUUUCUUGGGUUAACUAAGUGUUGCUUGGCAUAAGUGUGGUGUGUGUGUGUGUGUGUGUGUGUAAGGGAGGUGAAGCAGAUGAGGAGGAAGAGUAAAUACAGAGUAAGUUAGCAAGUUAUGGCAAGCAGUGCAUGGUGGUGUGGUAUGAGUGGCACACAGGAACAAGAGCAAGAAUGAGAAUAAAGAUGUGUGUGUGUGUGUGUGUGUGUGUGUGUGUGUGUGUGUGUGUGUGUGUGUGUGUGUGUGUGUGUGUGUGUGUG